rnacentral:rRNA from 1 species
UACCUUUAGUUGCCACCAUUAAGUUGGGCACUUUAAAGGAACUGCCAGUGAUAAGCUGGAGGAAGGUGGGGAUGACGUCAAGUCCUCAUGGCCCUUACGUGUUGGGCUACACACGUGCUACAAUGGCACUUACAGUGGGAAGCUAAGACGCGAGUCCAAGCUAAUCCCUAAAAUGUGCCUCAGUUCGGAUUGCACUCUGUAACUCGAGUGCAUGAAGCUGGAAUUACUAGUAAUCGCGGAUCAGCGCGCCGCGGUGAAUACGUUCCCGGGUCUUGUACACACCGCCCGUCACACCAUGGAAGUUGGUUACACCUUAAGGCAAAUCGUCAACCUUCGGGAGACAUUUGACUACGGUACGAUCAGCAACUGGGGUGAAGUCGUAACAAGGUAGCCGUAGGGGAACCUGCGGCUGGAUUACCUCCUUUCUAAGG